AUGUGGACACGUCCUUGAUGCAACUGGCUCAGCUCAUUAUGGGGAAGGAUCAGGGCAGAUCUGGCUGGAUGAUGUGAGUUGCUCUGGAAGCGAAUCCUAUCUUCGGGACUGUUCCUCCAGAGGAUGGGGUCAGCAUGACUGUGGGCACAGUGAAGAUGCUGGAGUUCUCUGCUCAGGAAGCAAACAGAUCAAACUGGUGAAUGGGGCAGAUCGUUGCUCCGGGAGAGUGGAGAUUUAUUACAAUGGCACCUGGGGCACAGUCUGUGAUGAUUCCUGGGACACAUCAGAUGCCAAUGUCGUUUGCCAAGAGUUGGGAUGUGGACACGCCCUUAAUGCACCUGGCUCAGCUCAUUAUGGGGAAGGAUCAGGGCAGAUCUGGCUGGAUGAUGUGAGUUGCUCUGGAAGCGAAUCCUAUCUUCGGGACUGUUCCUCCGGUGGAUGGGGUCGGCAUAACUGUGGGCACGGUGAAGAUGCUGGAGUUCUCUGCUCAGGAAGCAAACAGAUCAGACUGGUGAAUGGGGCAGAUCGUUGCUCCGGGAGAGUGGAGAUUCAUUACCGUGGAGCCUGGGGGACAGUCUGUGAUGAUUACUGGGACAAAUCAGA